rnacentral:rRNA from 1 species
UAGGGAAUCUUCGGCAAUGGACGAAAGUCUGACCGAGCAACGCCGCGUGAGUGAAGAAGGUUUUCGGAUCGUAAAACUCUGUUGUUAGAGAAGAACAAGGACGUUAGUAACUGAACGUCCCCUGACGGUAUCUAACCAGAAAGCCACGGCUAACUACGUGCCAGCAGCCGCGGUAAUACGUAGGUGGCAAGCGUUGUCCGGAUUUAUUGGGCGUAAAGCGAGCGCAGGCGGUUUCUUAAGUCUGAUGUGAAAGCCCCCGGCUCAACCGGGGAGGGUCAUUGGAAACUGGGAGACUUGAGUGCAGAAGAGGAGAGUGGAAUUCCAUGUGUAGCGGUGAAAUGCGUAGAUAUAUGGAGGAACACCGGUGGCGAAGGCGGCUCUCUGGUCUGUAACUGACGCUGAGGAUCGAAAGCGUGGGGAGCAAACAGG